rnacentral:rRNA from 1 species
UACGGAGGGUGCAAACGUUGUUCGGAAUCACUGGGCAUAAAGGGCGCGUAGGCGGUCCCGUGAGUCGGAUGUGAAAGACCUUGGCUCAACCAAGGAAUGGCAUCCGAAACUGCGGGGCUGGAGGCCGAAAGGGGCAAGCGGAACUCCUGGUGGAGCGGUGAAAUGCGUAGAUAUCAGGAGGAACACCGGUGGCGAAGGCGGCUUGCUGGAUCGGUUCUGACGCUGAGGCGCGAAAGCCAGGGGAGCAAACGGG